UUGCGUAAGAACUUAUCGAUUUUUAAACCAGAAGAAGCUCCAGGAUGAGAUUGUUUGGACAAUAUCAAAAAGCUAACUUAGGACUGGUUUCAAGCUUUCUACCUAGGAACCUCGUUAUCAAAUUGGAAUAUUUGAAAGAUCGAUCUGCUUAGAUGUUUCUCUUGUUUUUAACGUUUUUUUUUUCUUCUUAAUUCCUUGUUCUUCCUUGUCUUGUAUUAAGGAUUGAGUACGCAUGUACUCCUCAUAAUACAUUUCUUAUUUAU
rnacentral:lncRNA from 1 species